AUGAUGCCAACAGCUUCGCCCUGGGCACGAUCCAUCAGGUCGAAAAUGAUGGAAAUAGCUACCACACGCCAACACGAACUAGGAGUCUUCCGUUUUGUAUAUGAGCCCGAGUGUGAUCCUAAUUUACAACCCAAAAUUGGUAUGCAAUUUGACACCUGGGAGGAAGGUAUGGCAUUCUACAAAAUGUAUGCUCAUGAAGUCGGGUUCUCAGUUCGCACAUGGACGACACACAAAGAUGAACAUGGUGUAGUGUGGAAGAGGUUCGUUUGUGCUAGGGAGGGUUGGAGGAAGGUGGCCCGCGAAGAGGAAAGAAUAAAGCCUAAGCGAAAAUUCAAGUUAACCAGGUGUGGUUGUGAGGCUAUGAUUGGAGGAAGGUGGCUUAAUGUAGAUUUGAAGAUUUGGUUUGCCUUUCUGUGUUACUGUCAAUUGUAG
rnacentral:rRNA from 1 species